rnacentral:rRNA from 1 species
GACGAACGCUGGCGGCGUGCUUAACACAUGCAAGUCGAACGAAGAGCGAUGGAAGCUUGCUUCUAUCAAUCUUAGUGGCGAACGGGUGAGUAACGCGUAAUCAACCUGCCCUUCAGAGGGGGACAACAGUUGGAAACGACUGCUAAUACCGCAUACGAUCUAAUCUCGGCAUCGAGGAUAGAUGAAAGGUGGCCUCUACAUGUAAGCUAUCACUGAAGGAGGGGAUUGCGUCUGAUUAGCUAGUUGGAGGGGUAACGGCCCACCAAGGCGAUGAUCAGUAGCCGGGCUGAGAGGAGGAACGGCCACAUUGGGACUGAGACACGGCCCAGACGCCUACGGGAGGCAGCAGUGGGGAAUCUUCCGCAAUGGACGAAAGUCUGACGGAGCAACGCCGCGUGAGUGAUGACGGCCGUCGGGUUGUAAAGCUCGGUUAAUCGGGACGAAAGGCCUUCUUGCGAAUAGUGAGAAGGAUUGACGGUACCGGAAUAGAAAGCCACGGCUAACUACGUG